rnacentral:misc_RNA from 1 species
UUUCCGUAGGUGAACCUGCGGAAGGAUCAUUACAGAGUUCAUGCCCUCACGGGUAGAUCUCCCACCCUUGAAUAUUUAUACCUUAGUUGCUUUGGCAGGCCGUGGAAACACCAUGGACUCCGGCUUAUGCGUGCCUGCCAGAGGAAACAAACUCUGUUUUUAGUGAUGUCUGAGUACUAUAUAAUAGUUAAAACUUUCAACAACGGAUCUCUUGGUUCUGGCAUCGAUGAAAACGCAGC